UUGGACUUGGCUUUAAAGAGUUAGGUUAUUUUAGGUUUGGCUUUAAAAGAGUAAUUUAUUUUAGAUUUGGCUUCAAAAAAGUUAGGUUACUUUAGAUUUGGCUUCAAAAAAUUAGGUUACUUUAGAUUUGGCUUCAAAAAGUUAAGUUGCUUUAGAUUUGGCUUCAAAAAGUUAGGUUACUUUAGAUUUGGAUUCAAAAGGUUAGUUGCUUUAGAUUUGGCUUCAAAAAGUUAGGUUACUUUAGAUUUGGAUUCAAAAGGUUAGGUAACUUUAGAUUUGGCUUCAAAGAGUUAGGUUACUUUAGAUUUGGCUU